rnacentral:rRNA from 1 species
UGUAUAAUGGGUCAGCGACUUAUAUUCUGUAGCAAGGUUAACCGAAUAGGGGAGCCGAAGGGAAACCGAGUCUUAACUGGGCGUUAAGUUGCAGGGUAUAGACCCGAAACCCGGUGAUCUAGCCAUGGGCAGGUUGAAGGUUGGGUAACACUAACUGGAGGACCGAACCGACUAAUGUUGAAAAAUUAGCGGAUGACUUGUGGCUGGGGGUGAAAGGCCAAUCAAACCGGGAGAUAGCUGGUUCUCCCCGAAAGCUAUUUAGGUAGCGCCUCGUGAAUUCAUCUCCGGGGGUAGAGCACUGUUUCGGCAAGGGGGUCAUCCCGACUUACCAACCCGAUGCAAACUGCGAAUACCGGAGAAUGUUAUCACGGGAGACACACGGCGGGUGCUAACGUCCGUCGUGAAGAGGGAAACAACCCAGACCGCCAGCUAAGGUCCCAAAGUCAUGGUUAAGUGGGAAACGAUGUGGGAAGGCCCAGACAGCCAGGAUGUUGGCUUAGAAGCAGCCAUCAUUUAAAGAAAGCGUAAUAGCUCACUGGUCGAGUCGGCCUGCGCGGAAGAUGUAACGGGGCUAAACCAUGCACCGAAGCUGCGGCAGCGACGCUUAUGCGUUGUUGGGUAGGGGAGCGUUCUGUAAGCCUGUGAAGGUGUACUGUGAGGUAUGCUGGAGGUAUCAGAAGUGCGAAUGCUGACAUAAGUAACGAUAAAGCGGGUGAAAAGCCCGCUCGCCGGAAGACCAAGGGUUCCUGUCCAACGUUAAUCGGGGCAGGGUGAGUCGACCCCUAAGGCGAGGCCGAAAGGCGUAGUCGAUGGGAAACAGGUUAAUAUUCCUGUACUUGGUGUUACUGCGAAGGGGGGACGGAGAAGGCUAUGUUGGCCGGGCGACGGUUGUCCCGGUUUAAGCGUGUAGGCUGGUUUUCCAGGCAAAUCCGGAAAAUCAAGG